rnacentral:tRNA from 1 species
CAUGACUUUUUAGUGAGUUAUAUCAUUUACACUGAUUUAUUUUCUGUGCGAUUCAGGAUGUCUUGA